AGUGUCCCGAGAGGCGCCGCUUCUUCCGCUUUCUCGUCAGGCUCCUGCAGCCCCAGGCAUGAACCAAGGUUUCUGAACUACUGGGCGGGAGCCAACGUCUCUUCUUUCUCCUGCUCCAGCGGAGGCUUUGUCGCUGCGGGCUGGGCCCCAGGGUGCCCCCCAUGGCGGGGCCGCGGGUGGAGGUCGAUGGCAGCAUCAUGGAAGGGGGCGGCCAGAUCCUGAGAGUCUCUACGGCCUUGAGCUGUCUCCUAGGCCUCCCCUUGCGGGUGCACAAGAUCCGAGCCGGCCGGAGCACGCCAGGCCUGAGUUUUAUAAAUUUGUCAUAAAAUGUGGGGAUGUAGGCAGUCUGAAUGCACACGUUUUGAUGCAGUAUUAUGACCUGAAGGCCUCAACAUUUAUCUGGACUGGAAAUGAUUCGAGAUUUGUGUGAUGGGCAACUGGAGGGGGCAGAAAUUGGCUCAACAGAAAUAACCUUUACACCAGAGAAGAUCAAAGGUGGAAUCCACACAGCAGAUACCAAGACAGCAGGGAGUGUGUGCCUCUUGAUGCAGGUCUCAAUGCCGUGUGUUCUCUUUGCUGCUUCUCCAUCAGAACUUCAUUUGAAAGGUGGAACUAAUGCUGAAAUGGCACCACAGAUCGAUUAUACAGAGAUGGUCUUCAAGCCAAUUGUUGAAAAAUUUGGUUUCAUAUUUAAUUGUGACAUUAAAACAAGGGGAUAUUACCCAAAAGGGG
rnacentral:sRNA from 1 species